rnacentral:tRNA from 1 species
GGACCAUUAGCUCAGCUGGCAGAGCAACUGACUCUUAAUCAGUGGGUCGAAGGUUCGAUUCCUUCAUGGUCUACCA